rnacentral:rRNA from 1 species
UACGUAGGGUGCAGGCGUUAAUCGGAAUUACUGGGCGUAAAGCGUGCGCAGGCGGUUUGUUAAGACAGGUGUGAAAUCCCCGGGCUUAACCUGGGAACUGCGCUUGUUACUGGCAGACUUGAGUGUGGCAGAGGGGGGUGGAAUUCCAGGUGUAGCAGUGAAAUGCGUAGAGAUCUGGAGGAACACCGGAGGCGAAAGCGGUCCACUGGGCAACUUCUGACGCUGAGGUGCGAAAGCUAGGGUAGCAAACGGG